rnacentral:tRNA from 1 species
AGGGGAGUAGCUCAGCUGGUAGAGCAUCGGUCUCCAAAACCGAGGGUCGCAGGUUCGAGUCCUGUCUCCCCUG